UACGGAGGGUGCAAGCGUUGUUCGGAAUUACUGGGCGUAAAGAGCUUGUAGGCGGCUUGCUAAGUCCGAUGUGAAAGCCCUCGGCUCAACCGGGGAAGUGCAUUGGGUACUGGUGAGCUUGAGUAUGGGAGAGGAGAGCGGAAUUCCCGGUGUAGAGGUGAAAUUCGUAGAUAUCGGGAGGAACACCAGUGGCGAAGGCGGCUCUCUGGACCAAUACUGACGCUGAGAAGCGAAAGCGUGGGGAGCAAACAGG
rnacentral:rRNA from 1 species